rnacentral:rRNA from 1 species
GACGAACGCUGGCGGCGUGCUUAACACAUGCAAGUCGAACGGUAAGGCCCUUCGGGGUACACGAGUGGCGAACGGGUGAGUAACACGUGGGUGAUCUGCCCUGCACUUCGGGAUAAGCCUGGGAAACUGGGUCUAAUAACGGAUAGGACUCCUGGCUUCAUGGUUGGGGGUGGAAAGCUUUUGCGGUGUGGGAUGGGCCCGCGGCCUAUCAGCUUGUUGGUGGGGUAAUGUCCUACCAAGGCGACGACGGGUAGCCGGCCUGAGAGGGUGACCGGUCACGCUGGGACUGAGAUACGGCCCAGACUCCUACGGGAGGCAGCAGUGGGGAAUAUUGCACAAUGGGCGCAAGCCUGAUGCAGCGACGCCGCGUGAGGGAUGACGGCCUUCGGGUUGUAAACCUCUUUCAGCUAUGACGAAGCGCAAGUGACGGUAGUAGCAGAAGAAGGACCGGCCAACUACGUGCCAGCCGCCGCAGUAA